rnacentral:rRNA from 1 species
GAUGAACGCUAGCGAUAGGCUUAACACAUGCGAGUCGAGGGGUAACGUGUUGGAAGCUUGCUUCCGAUGACGCCGACCGGCGGAUGGGUGCGUAACGCGUAUGCAACUUGCCUCACAGUGGAGAAUAACCCGGAGAAAUCCGGACUAAUACUCCAUACACUCUUAAGUACGCCUGUACAUGAGAGGAAAGAUUUAUCGCUGUGAGAUAGGCAUGCGUCCUAUUAGGUAGUUGGUGAGGUAACGGCUCACCAAGCCGACGAUAGGUAGGGGUGCUGAGAGGCAGAUCCCCCACAUUGGGACUGAGACACGGCCCAAACUCCUACGGGAGGCAGCAGUGAGGAAUAUUGGUCAAUGGAGGAAACUCUGAACCAGCCAAGUCGCGUGAAGGAAGAAUGUCCUAAGGAUUGUAAACUUCUUUAGCGAGCGAGUAAGGACUUCCACGUGAUGGGAGUUUGAAAGUAGCUCGAGAAUAAGUAUCGGCUAACUCCGUG